UGGGGUGAGGGGAGAGGGUGGCAUAAGAAAAAAAAGUUAUAUAGCGCCGAUGUGCGCUUCCCUCCGGAGGGGGGUACCAGACCCCACACUUUUUUCUGCAACUAGACACUCCAUAUCCACUAACUUUUCAGAAUUAAUUUCGAGGGUUUAAGUUCACUGGACUCUCAAGGGGUUCGCUUAUUUUCAAUUUAUAUGAGAAAAUCAUGUUUAGUUUUUAUUGACUUUUAUAUUAAAAAUUCAGGUCUUCUCAAGGAUUUUAGAAGGGCUUGAGGACGAUUUCCACUAAAAUUGGCCUUGAAAG